AAAUGCAUGCAUCAAAUCUUAGAGCUUGUAAAAAAUUUCCUCCGUACGACCAUAAAGGAAAAGCACCAAAAGCAACACAAAAAAUUAAAACCAAAGCUCAGGACUGAUUAGUGUAAAGAUCAGUGGAAUCCAGUUGUAUACCCAAAGUGUGAAAAUUUAACUAAAGGUGACACUCAAGUCUCCUAAUUACUAAAGGUGACAACUUUAACCAUCCAAGUCAAAGACCACUUAAAUUUGUGAUUAAGUUAAUUGGGAUUUAAAAUGUAUUUUUUAAAACUUCUUAAUCUUUUACAAAAUACAAAAAAAAAAAAAACUCAACUUAAACCCAACCCCCAACCCAUUUAUUUCUAAAUCAAAAGGCAGUUCCACCUUUUCCUCUUCUUCAAAAUCAAAACCCACCCUCUUCCUCAAAAUCAAAACCAUCCCUCAAGAACUAGGAAUUUCCUCUUCAAAUUUGACAAAAGAUGCUGCUCUCGUCUCUCUCUCUCUCUCUUCAACUGUUGUUGCUUCUUCAAACUCAGAUAAAAUGUCUCCAAAACAAAGAAUAGCAAAGAAAUCAACUGAUGCAUCUAGAGAUAGUAAAAGACUCACAGGACAAACAUCAUUAGAGGAGCUUGCUGGUUUAGCAAAUGCUAUUUGUGAAUCAGCAUAUGUAGAAGAAAGAGAUAGUUAAAUUGAUAGUUAAACUGAUAAACAACCCUCAAAAGGAGAGGAAAGCUAGAAAACCUCCCACGUAAAAGUUUCUGGAGUUGGGCACGAUGAACAGCCUGAAGAUGGGCAAGAAACAGAACAAGAAGAACAAGAAGAUGAAGGAAAUGAUGAUAGAACUAAAGGAGAUGAAGAUGACAAAAAAGAUGAAUAAGAUGAAAAAGACAAAGAAGAUGAACAAACUGAAAAGGAUGAUGAAGAAGAAAAUAUUGAUCACUUGUCUACAACCUUAGCUGAAUACAGAACAAAGAAGAAAAAUAGUGCGAAUGCCAAUAUUAUUGCAGAAUCUUCUAGCAGUAUGGGCAUAAAUCCAAACAGAUCUUCAAAUUGGAGCCCUAAGGGGGGUGGACGAACAAUUGUUUAUACGUACUUAACAUUAUGUGUGUGUGUGUGUAUAUAUAAAAUAAAAAAUAGCCGCUACAGGGAA